rnacentral:rRNA from 1 species
CCUACGGGUGGCAGCAGUGAGGAAUAUUGGUCAAUGGCCGAGAGGCUGAACCAGCCAAGUCGCGUGAGGGACGACUGCCCUAUGGGUUGUAAACCUCUUUUAUAAGGGAAUAAAACAUGCUACGUGUAGCUUUAUGCCUGUACCUUAUGAAUAAGCAUCGGCUAACUCCGUGCCAGCAGCCGCGGUAAUACGGAGGAUGCGAGCGUUAUCCGGAUUUAUUGGGUUUAAAGGGUGCGUAGGCGGUUGUUUAAGUUAGUGGUAAAAUGUCGGGGCUAAACCUUGAAUUGCCAUUGAUACUGUAAGACUUGAGUGCAGUAGAGGUAGGCGGAAUGAGUGGAGUAGCGGUGAAAUGCUUAGAUAUCACGAAGAACUCCGAUGGCGAAGGCAGCUUACCAGACUGCGACUGACGCUGAUGCACGAGAGCGUGGGUAGCGAACAGGAUUAGAUACCCUUGUAGUC